rnacentral:rRNA from 1 species
CAUUACCUAGAGUUGUAGGCUUUGCCUGCUAUCUCUUACCCAUGUCUUUUGAGUACCUUACGUUUCCUCGGUGGGUUCGCCCACCGAUUGGACAAACUUAAACCCUUUGCAGUUGAAAUCAGCGUCUGAAAAAACUUAAUAGUUACAACUUUCAACAACGGAUCUCUUGGUUCUGGCAUCGAUGAAGAACGCAGCGAAAUGCGAUAAGUAGUGUGAAUUGCAGAAUUCAGUGAAUCAUCGAAUCUUUGAACGCACAUUGCGCCCCUUGGUAUUCCAUGGGGCAUGCCUGUUCGAGCGUCAUUUGUACCUUCAAGCUCUGCUUGGUGUUGGGUGUUUGUCUCCUGUAGACUCGCCUUAAAACAAUUGGCAGCCGGCGUAUUGAUUUCGGAGCGCAGUACAUCUCGCGCUUUGCACUCAUAACGACGACAUCCAAAAGUACAUUUUUACACUCUUGACCUCGGAUCAGGUAGGGAUACCCGCUGAACUUAAGCAUAUCA